AUACGGAGGAUCCGAGCGUUAUCCGGAUUUAUUGGGUUUAAAGGGUGCGCAGGCGGGAUGUUAAGUCGGCGGUGAAAUUUUGCAGCUCAACUGUAAAAGUGCCUUCGAUACUGGCUUCCUUGAGUGUAGAUGAAGUAGGCGGAAUUUGUGGUGUAGCGGUGAAAUGCUUAGAUAUCACGAGGAACUCCGAUUGCGCAGGCAGCUUACUAAGCCACAACUGACGCUCAUGCACGAAGGCGUGGGGAUC
rnacentral:rRNA from 1 species